rnacentral:rRNA from 1 species
ACCUGGUUGAUCCUGCCAGUAGUCAUAUGCUUGUUUCAAGGACUAAGCCAUGCAAGUCUCAGAGUAAAUGGAUCACAGUAGGUCUGCAAACAGCUCAUUAAAUCAGCUUUAAUCUACGCCGAGAAACUGCCUUUCGGCAGACUAUUGGAUAACUUUGGUAACCCCAAAGCUAAUACAUGUCAGCAAAACCCGCACAGGUUCCACCUCGGGGCCUUGGUUCCGGGGCUGUGUUGGGUGUAAUUGACUGAAAUAAAAACCAACGCUAGCAAUAGCAGCGGUGAUUAGAUGACUCAAGUCAAUCGAGUAGUAGCGCAUACUUCGGUGGCGCUUGUCGGCAUGAGAAUCUGCCCUAUCAGCUUUUGACGGUAGUGUAGUGGACUACCGUGGCUGUAACGGGUAACGGGGAAUUAGGGUUCGAUUCCGGAGAGGGAGCCUGAGAAACGGCUACCACAACUAAGGUUGGCAGCAGGCGCGCAAAUUGCCCAAUAGCAACACAUCGCUGAGGCAGCGAAGAGAAAUAGCAACUUCAUGCGGCCCUGCCGUGUGAAGAUUGCCAUGGACGAUAUCUAAACCUGUCGGUGAGUAUCAAUUGGUGGACAAGUCUGGUGCCAGCACCCGCGGUAAUUCCAGCACCAAUAGCGUAUAUUAAUGCUGCUGCUGUUGAAAAGCUCGUAGUUGGAUCAAGAGUUCGACAGUGCACGGUGGCCCUGUUUGCCAUGGUGGUUCCGAUCACCGUGGCGGCAGCGGAUCAACCCCGUGCGCCAAACUGUCGACUCUAACAGACCGAAACGGUUCCCUGCGAGUAGACUCCUUCAUUGGGGUUGAAAGCGAUUACGCAUCAACCAUAUGCAUACGGGACGUCGGUCAAAGUUACUGUGAACAAACCAGCGUGUCCAAAACAGGCUUUCGCCUGAAUGUUCGAGCAUGGAAUAACAAAGGAUCGAUUAUCUCGGUUCUUUUUGUUGGUUUUUAACCCGAGAAGGAGUAAUUCAGGCCACGGUGUCUGAGUUGGGUUCCCCUUCACCUCGGAUGAGGCCCCAAUUAGGCAGUGUCCUUACGGGAUCAAUAGGGACUGACGGGGUCGUACGUACUUCUACGUCAGAGGUGAAAUUAUUAGAUCGUAGGAAGACGAACUUCUGCGAAAGCAUUCGACAAGAAUGUCUUCAUUAAUCAAGAACGAGAGUGUGGGGAUCGAAGAUGAUCAGAUACCGUCGUAGUCCACUACUGUAAACAAUGCCGUCUCAGGAUUGAGAAGUGAACAGAAUGACUUUCACAACACUAACCCCUGAAACGAGAAAUCAAAGAUUAUGGGUUCAGGGGGGAGUACAUUCGCAAGGCUGAAACUUAA